UCCGGGGGGGCUUUUGUCCUACACUCCAAAAAAACCUCUAGUAAUUGAUUUUGGUUUAGCAGUAGGGGAAAGCAUCUUAUCCUUGUGCCCCAACCCAACCACUAUAUUAUUUACAAGAUUUAUUCCGUAUUCUUUUAUGUAGAUCUAUUAUAUAAACAGUAUAGAUCUAGUAGAUAGCCGAUGCAAUAUACUGCUAGAUCUACAGGUUUUACUUCUGAAAAUUAUAUAAAAACUGGUCUAAUCCAGAUGAUUUCCAAUUUGUUUAUAGACUAAGAAAAAAACUCACCCAAAACUACAAAAUGUAUCCGUGUUCGUUCAUUUCCCCUUCCACAUCACAAAUAUCCCUUUUGAAGUUUACUAUCUCCGGCACAAAACCUUUUGGAUGACCGAAUAUUUAACUUUCCACGGUAAUCACACAACGGGGUCAAUGCAGUUGAUGACGCAAAAGUGGACGACUUCAUUUUCACGCCAUUGAAGGGGUGUCCAGCUCGAUGCCAGUGUGUAAACGUUUUAAUGAUAUUUCUGAUGAAUCAACAUUUCAAUUAUUCAUAACUGAUGGAAAGGAUAAUUUAAUUAUCCUAUAAAACCUGGGACAAAAGGUAUUUUAAGUCACAGAUAAACGAAAAUGCUUUCACGAAAAUUGUGUCCUGCAUACGGAGUACCUGACUCCCCCGUGUAAGCGUAUCGAUUUGUCCGUUGCCGCCGAAACUCUUUGAACUUCGAGCGGGUGCCUGUGUAGUUUAAAGACACGCAAAGCUGAGGUUUAAACGUGUAAAUUAAUUGUUACAAGAGGUCUCGUUUAAAUUUGCCGUAGACAUGCGGGAUGUUUCUUAAAGACUAGAAACAUGUAGUCUUAGACUUUAGUGGCUCAACUGCCUUAUAGUCUUAUCACAGUAAAUACUUCAGUGACAGACCGCUAUGACUUCAAAACAGGGAAUCAGACUGAAAUACAAUAAAAUAUUUCAGUAAAGAUCAGUAAUUGAAGAGAUUUUAAUGGAUGGGAGUGGGACUCACAUGAAAUAGAGUUUCCUUUUAGGGUCUAUUAUCUUAGCCAGUAAACUGCAUGUGAGCAAGGGGAAUGUGAUAAGAGAAGACUGGUGAUAAUAAACAGAGGCCACUCAAAAAAAGAAAAUAUACUGUUGUGAAAAAGACUCAAAAUGGCAGAAAAUAAUUGGAUUUUACAUGGGCAUAUUCUGUUGUAACUUCGAUUUGGUAGCUAAAAAUUGUUUAACAAUACCUGUAUGGCUGUGAAGAGAGAUGUUGAGAGUGAUUGUUAUACACACAGGCUUUCAAACCAGUACAAGCAAAUUACUGUUGAAUGAACAAACAAAAUUGGGCUAUAACAUAUGGAAGCGGCUUGUUCUAGAUUAUUUUUAUAAACCCUACACAACUAUGAUGAUAAGUGGGAUAUACUAGAAUCAGAUUGUCUGUCUGUCUGCCUCACAGUCCACCUAUUGGAGCUAUUGAAGUGAAACUUAAUAUAGACAGAUGUAUCUCAUUGCAGUGAAAUUUAGUUCCAAGGCAUUUAAUCAAAUUUGUUUUUCAUAUGAUAGAUCAGUCAAAAUGUUUCUUAUUUAGUGAUUUAUUUGUGGCUCAAAUUUAGCAAUUGAAACUAAACUUGCCUCAUAAUGGUCUUGAACUUAUAUGUCAAAUUAGUGUAUUUUCACCAUUUUUAGCUUGUCAUUUUUUUUUCAAAGAAAAAAAUAGAGGUAUUGUUACAGUCAAUGGCAGCUUUUCCAUUGCCGUCCGCAAUCUUUAACUUUGAUCAAAAUGUCUAAAUUAUCGCAUUUUAUUCUAUCAAAUUGUAAUAUCUGUUUUGUUAAGGGGGAACGGUUCCACUUUAGAAAAUGUGUCAUAGAUAAGUUUUGAAAUUUAUUUUUUAUUUUGAGUAGGGAAUGGUUCCCUCUUACUGGUAACCUGGCUCUAAAAUUCUAAAUUAUUGCAUUUUAUUCUAUCAAAUUUUUAAAUCUGUUUUGUUAAGGGGGAACGGUUCCACUUUAGAAAAUGGAUAAGAGAUAAGUUUUGAAAUUUAUUUUUUUAUUUUGAUGAGGGAACGGUUCCCCCUUACCAGUAACAUGGCUUUAAAUUUCUAAAUUAUUGCAUUUUAUUCUAUCAAAUUGUUAUAUCUGUUUUGUUAAGGGGGAACGGUUCCACUUUAGAAAAUUGGUAAGUGAUAAGUUUUGAAUUUUGUUUUUUAUAUCGAUGAGGGAACGGUUCCCUCUUACGGGUAAACUUGCUCUAAAUUUCUAAAUUAUUGUAUUUCAUUCUAUCAAAUUGUUAUUUCUGUUUUGUUAAGGGGAAAUGGUUCCACUUUAGAAAAUGGGUAAGAGAUAAGUUUUGAUAUUUAUUUUUUAUUUUGAUGAGGGAACGGUUCCCUCUUACGGGUAACCUUGCUCCAAAUUUCUAAAUCAUUGCAUUUUAUUCUAUCAAAUUGUUAUUUCUGUUUUGUUAAGGGGGAACGGUUCCACUUUAGAAAAUGUGUCAUACUUAAGUUUUUAAAAAAAAAUUUUUAUUUCGAUGAGGGAACGGUUCCCUCUUACUGGUAACAUGGCUCUGAAUUUCUAAAUUAUUGCAUUUUAUUCUAUCAAAUUGUUAUAUCUAUUUUGUUAAGGGGGAACGGUUCCACUUUAGAAAAUUGGUAAGUGAUAAGUUUUGAAAUUUAUUUUUUUUUUUGAUGAGGGAACGGUUCCCUCUUACGGGUAACCUUGCUCUUAAUUUCUAAAUUAUUGCAUUUUAUUCUAUCAAAUUGUUAUUUCUGUUUUGUUAAGGGGGAACGGUUCCACUUUAGAAAAUGUGUCAUACUUAAGUUUUUAAAAAAAAAAAAUUAUUUCGAUGAGGGAACGGUUCCCUCUUACUGGUAACAUGGCUCUGAAUUUCUAAAUUAUUGCAUUUUAUUCUAUCAAAUUGUUAUAUUCUAUUUUGUUAAGGG